rnacentral:sRNA from 2 species
GGUCUAUGUCUCAUUAUAUGUAUCUGACUCCAAUUCUGUAAACUCUUGCCAAAAUAAGAAAGUGAAGGAAUCAAGUCCACAUUUCAUUCAAGAGGCAUACUGUGGCUGUAUGUUUGAUGUUUCCUAAGGUCCCAAGAUUGUUUUCCACUGCUUCAACAUGUCAUUGAUGGUGGAUAAUCGCGUUGUUGAGCUACUUCUGGCACUCAAGAGACAGACAGCCAUACUGUUUCUCUGAGAGUUCCCAGCGGACACCAUGUGGCGGUGAGAGCUCGUCGUCCGACACGGAAGUAGUCCUAGCACAGAAGUUGCCCCAGCAUGGAAGUAGCAGCCAGCACGGAAGUUGUUUGUCCUGAGAAUUAUCCUAAAGACCC